rnacentral:misc_RNA from 1 species
GAUGAAGAACGCAGCGAAAUGCGAUAAGUAAUGUGAAUUGCAGAAUUCAGUGAAUCAUCGAGUCUUUGAACGCACAUUGCGCCCCCUGGUAUUCCGGGGGGCAUGCCUGUCCGAGCGUCAUUGCUGCCCUCAAGCACGGCUUGUGUGUUGGGCCCCGCCCCCCGGCUCCCGGGGGGCGGGCCCGAAAGGCAGCGGCGGCACCGCGUCCGGUCCUCGAGCGUAUGGGGCUUCGUCACCCGCUCUUGUAGGCCCGGCCGGCGCUUGCCGACACAUCAAUCUUUUUUCCAGGUUGACCUCGGAUCAGGUAGGGAUACCCGCUGAACUUAAGCAUAUCAAUAAGCGGAGGA